rnacentral:rRNA from 1 species
AACGAACGCUGGCGGCAUGCCUAACACAUGCAAGUCGAACGAGACCUUCGGGUCUAGUGGCGCACGGGUGCGUAACGCGUGGGAACCUGCCCUUAGGUUCGGAAUAACUCCCCGAAAGGGGUGCUAAUACCGGAUAAUGUCUUCGGACCAAAGAUUUAUCGCCUUUGGAUGGGCCCGCGUUGGUUUAGCUAGUUGGUAGGGUAAAAGCCUACCAAGGCGACGAUCCAUAGCUGGUCUGAGAGGAUGAUCAGCCACACUGGGACUGAGACACGGCCCAGACUCCUACGGGAGGAAGCAGUGGGGAAUAUUGGAAAAUGGGCGAAAGCAUGAUCCAGCAAUGCCGGGUGAGUGAUGAAGGCCUUAGGGUUGUAAAGCUCUUUUACCCGGGAUGAUAAUGACAGUACCGGGAGAAUAAGCUCCGGCUAACUCCGUG